rnacentral:misc_RNA from 1 species
UCCGGUUUGGCACCGGCAGUCUCCCUAGAGUUCCCGGCAUCAUCCGCUGGCAACUAAGGACAGGGGUUGCGCUCGUUGCGCCACUUAAGGCAACACCUCACGGCACGAGCUGACGACAGCCAUGCACCACCUGUGCAGGCUACGUAGAGCGCCGGCUUUCACCGGCUUUACCCUGCAUGUCAAGCCCAGGUAAGGUUCUUCGCGUUGCAUCGAAUUAAGCCACAUGCUCCGCCGCUUGUGCGGGUCCCCGUCAAUUCCUUUGAGUUUUAGCCUUGCGGCCGUACUCCCCAGGCGGGGUGCUUAAUGCGUUAGCUUCGGCGCAGGAAACCGGAGAGGCCCCCCACACCUAGCGCCCAACGUUUACAGCGUGGACUAC